rnacentral:rRNA from 1 species
AGGAACGCUGGCGGCGUGGAUUAGGCAUGCAAGUCGAACGGUAGGAUACCUUCGGGUAUCUGAGAGUGGCGAACGGGUGAGUAACACGUAGGUGAUCUACCCUCAAGAUUGGGACAACCCAGGGAAACUUGGGCUAAUACCGGAUGAAAGCAGCAGUGAUGUUGUUUGAAAGGUGGCGUAAGCUGCCGUUUGGGGAUGAGCCUGCGCUCUAUUAGUUAGUUGGCGGGGUAAAGGCCCACCAAGGCGAUGAUAGAUAGGCGGCCUUAACGGGUGGUCGCCCACACUGGGAUUGAGAUACGGCCCAGACUCCUACGGGAGGCAGCAGUCGAGAAUAGUCUACAAUGGCCGAAAAGGCUGAUAGUGCGACGCCGCGUGAACGAAGAAGCCCUUCGGGGUGUAAAGUUCUUUUAUAUGUGAGCAGUGCUUUCUAUGUGAACAGCAUGGGGAGAGAGAUAUUAGCAUAUGAAUAAGCAACGGCUAACUCCGUG